GCCGCUGUUUUCAGCCCCAGAUCUCCCGCAGCGGAGGGCGUGUAAACCAGGCCCUUCAUCUGCUCAGCACUACAUGAGAAAAAUAGAAGAAAGACAAACAACUUCCUCAAAUAUCCUUUACUAGUCACUGUAGUAAGUAGUCCAAAAGCGGAAUUGUUCUGUUUCAACCCUGGAAGAACCUUAUUCAUUACUGAACAAUAUACUACCUUCAAAAAUGCUCCUUUCACGCAAGACCUGAGAAAAAAGAUGGAUGGAUCUUAAACCAUGCUUUCAAAGCCAGCUGACUUGGAAUCUACUAGACUAGUGGGAGAAGUGAAUACCAGAGUGAAGGACCCUCUUCUGAGAAUCUCUGCCCCCAUUCCUAGAAAGCAGAAGUUCCCAGGCUGACUUGUGGCAGAUGCAGUAGAGACACAAUUUUUCAGGGUAGCCUGAUGACAUGACCACACCACCAUAAUCGUCACUAUCUAAUUAUUGAGUCUGCAGUCUGCUAACUCAUGGUGCAGCACUUUCUUAUUGGUUAGAUGAUCUCCCCAAUGGAUUCCCAAGAUUCUUAUUAAAUAAAGCUGGUGAAAUGUUUUC